rnacentral:rRNA from 1 species
AUUGAACGCUGGCGGCGUGCCUAAUACAUGCAAGUCGAACGCAGUGGGGACGGGUGAGUAACACUUGGGUAACCUCCCAUCAGAGGGGGAUAACACGUGGAAACAGGUGCUAAAACGAUAAUGAAGGCUGGACCAGCGGUGCAUUAGCUAGUUGGUGAGGUACCGGCUCACCAAGGCCACGAUGCAUAGCGGACCUGAGAGGGUGAUCGGCCACACUGGGACUGAGACACGGCCCAGACUCCUACGGGAGGCAGCAGUAGGGAAUCUUCGGCAAUGGACGAAAGUCUGACCGAGCAACGCCGCGUGAGUGAAGAAGGUUUUCGGAUCGUAAAACUCUGUUGUUAGAGAAGCGGUAUCUAACCAGAAAGCCACGGCUAACUACGUGCCAGCAGCCGCGGUAAUAC